UUAAGUUCAGCGGGUACUCCUACCUGAUUUGAGGUCAAGCGUUGAUGUGUUUGUUCGCCGGAGCUGCGUCCAGCCGAAUGCGUUGCGUCGAGUUGGUGUUACCUAGCACGACUUCCGCCUCAGCAGAGCAGCCCAUGGGCUCUCAAUUUCAAGCUAACUCCCAUGUUACAGAGUAUCACUCACUACCAAACACAAGUGUU
rnacentral:misc_RNA from 1 species